rnacentral:misc_RNA from 1 species
UGGCGUAAGAUUUUUUUUUUUUUUAGAAAGAUUAUAAUUUGUUUGGUCUUGGCAAAACUUUUUGGGAAGGAUUCUAGUGUGUUAAAGAUUGGAUUUUCUUAAAGCCCUUUACGUGCAGUUAUGGUUUAUAUUAUGCUUCAGAAAGUUUUGCUUAAAUGCCAUUGGCAUCUGCUAUGUUUUGGUAAAUUCCGAAAAUAGAUUAUAAUUUGCUCGAGGAAAUGAAGAGGGUUUCUGAUUCUGCUCAGAGAAUGAGAGCAAAAUUUUAUGCAUAUCCUCAAUUUAAGUUACCAGCUCAUCUUUGAAGCCUUAGGGGUGCUGCUGCAGGCAGGAGAACAAAGAUUCUUUUUCUCCCAAGUGGGAUGUCAAAGAGGGAGAAGAAUCAAUCUCAAUACAACCAAAGGUUAUUGUCAUCAUAUAAACGCAUAACAUUCAAAAUAGUCAUAUCAUUUUAACUUUAGUAUGUAUAGAUGACUUCAUUUGAUAAUCUCUUAAAUUUCUGAUAUUAUGAUUAUGAAAAUAUUGGUAAAUUUCCUUGGUUUUUCAUGUUCAUGGUUUUCUCUAGCAUAAAUUAGCAUUAUUUUAAAGCCUUAUUGCUUACGUUAACAUGAUACUUUCAAGAUCUUCCAUCUAUAGUUUUUUUUUUUUAAUAAAUAAAAUAACUACCUUUCUGGGAUAUGAACUAUUGACUUGGAGAUUGUUUGCCAUUGGUACUAAUUAACUAUAGUUGCUACCUUUAUGCUGUCAUUUCUCAUGUUUGAUGCUAAGUAGAAUCUAUGUAUGUCAAAGCUGUUCAUUUGAAGAGUUGUAAAGGUGAUUAAUUCAAAUAUAUGCUAAUAUUUUCAGGAAGAAAUUUAUAUCUUGGACAAUUGAGUGGCAAUUUCACGCCACAAAUGUUAUUUUACUUGACCAUGUACUGUCUCUUGAUGGUAUUUUUAUCCUGUUUGGAACAAUCUCUUGGUAUUUGUAAUGAAGGUAGCUAAUAUGCAAAAAGGACUGAGGUGUAAUUGUUACUGCAGAGUUCAUGAAGACACAUACCUUUGCUCCGUAAUUGAGAAGUAUCUAAAACCUGGACCAUGGAACCAUCAAUUAAGCCAAUUCUGUGAGGAGCAUCUGGACUCUCAAGUUUUUUAUCCGUAAAUAUCCAAAGGGACCCAAGUCACCUUUUUGCGAGUUGGACAUCAAGGCUCCAUUAAGGCAACAAUUAGCCAAUGUAGUUAUUUUGGAAUAUCCUGUUAUUCAUGUUUUUCUCCCUUCACACAGUUACAAUUUUGAAGUUGUGAAAGGUGCGAAUCCUGUCGCUCAUAGGCCAGAAUCUAAUAAUUAUGUUCACAAAGAUUACCCAAGCCCAAAAGUUGUUGCCUUCAGGGAGGCGGAAGCAGAAGAAAAUAAUGGCUCUUAAAAUCCUUAGGUUUAUGAUUUUAUGAAGAAUGUAAUUUUAACUCCACUACUUGAAAUCCCUCGUCGUAACGUUUCUGAGAAAUCAUUAGAUGGGCUGUCUGAUGACUUUUCAUUGGUGAGAGAGGCAGCAGACAAUAAUUCACAUUACAACUCCCAGAUCAUGGAACCUGGAAUUUUUGAGGAUAUGGACUUGAUUUUGAUCAAGGGUUGAUAGAUGCAUACUCAGAUCUGAUUAGAAAAGUCAAUCCUGAUGACUUUCUUGAUUUGGAAGGUGAAUUUCUCAAGGGAGAGAAGUUAGGAGAAAGGAAAGAUUUUUCUAAUUCUAGGGGAAUUUCAUUAUUGCAGGAGAAAUUAAAAGAGGGUGAAAUUGUGGAGUAAUUGAUGUGCUGGACUUUGAUGGGUGGACUUCAAAGGAGCAGCUCCUGGAAAUUAUUUUUGCCAUUGCAGUCUGACUCUUCACAGAUUCAGUUUUUCGGUGCCCUUGAGUCCUUGACACUAGUAGUGGCUAUGAACCAUAGUCCUUUGACUUUAUGGUAAGGCGCACAUUCUUUCCCUUAUAUGAAGUUUAUGGAUGCUAUUUGAUAUAUGCAUUGAUCUCUGUUGCAUGUGAUCUCAGUUAGAACAUAUUAUUUUGAUACCAGCAGUUUCAUGUUCAUGUUUCCAACUUCUGAAACUGGCUACCUUUCUGAUAUGCAUCCAAGGCACAUUGCUGGUGAAACUUAGGAUAUUUAUCAUCUUCCAUCCCUUGGUGUUACCCCAAUUUCUGUGUGCUAGGGCCUUUUAUACCUCUAGCCUCCAAAGGAACUUUCGGCUACCAAAAGUUUUUUUGUCCCCUUAUCCCUUUUAACCCUCAAUCUCUGAACUCUAAUGCUCUCACCCCUUUAAACACUCUUUAAACAACCUUUAAUCUAUCCACCUCACCAAAAGUCAACCUCGAAACCCUAGAAGCAAGCAGAGAUUCUUUCAACGAUUGAGAUUCCGAUGAUGCCGUUUCAGCAGGUGUUACAAUUUAGGUGAAAAAUCCGGAAGUGAACAUUGGAUUUAAAGUGUUCUAAGAAAUAAAAUUCCAGCAGUAUCUUAGCUCUGAUAUCAUGUUAAUUCAUUGCUACAUUUUAACUGAUGGGCUGAGGGUGGGGGGGGAUAUAUGCAUCUUAGCUCUUAAUAAUUAUAUACUGUCAAUACAAAAAUACAAAUGGACAAAACUACAUAAGAGCAUCAAGGGUUCUUUGUUUGCUUUGUUAUAAAUCAUUUUGUUUAUAUGAAUGAAUGGAAGGGAAGGAGAAGCUUUAUACAUUGAGAUCUUUAGUUCCUAACACAACUAAGGUAAUUAAUCUGAACUGAGUCAAUUUUUGCUUUUUUCCCCUACCCAAUAAUGAUAAUGUGUUGGAAAUUAUUGUGCAUAUGGAUAAGGUCUCCAUAAUUGGAGACACUGCGCUACAUACGUGCAAGAGUUGCAAAUGCAGGUCAAGAAACUUAAGACUGAGACUUCUGGUCUUGAAGCAUCCUUCGCAGGAUCAGAUAGAUGUCAAGGAUCAACAAAAAAUCUGAGGAAGAUUCAAAUUGCAAACAACAAAAACCCAAUUUGCAAGAAGAUCAUGCACUUUCAUUAGAGUACUUAAGCAAAACGAAAAUUACCAUUAAAGUGAUAUUGAGAUCAGUUAACUAAUAAUUCAAUUUCUCGAUCUGGGUUUUUUGGAUUUUUUUUUCAAGAAAGAGGGUUUUAUGUGAGAUUGUGCCAUAGAGGAGACGAGGUUGCUGUCUCUUUAUAGGACUCUGGAGUCACUCACAAGCUUCAAGAUUCAAAGCUCAAGCUUAACCACUGCUUCUGAAACACUUGCAUUAACAUUUACUUUAAAUGUGAGAUCGCUUGUAUACACGGGUUAUAUCCAAUCUCUUAGGAAACCAUGGAGCAAUUUUACAUAUAUUUUUUUCAGCUUGGAAGCUACAUUUUGUUAUACAUUUUAUGUAGUCUGCUGCAAGUACUUUGUCAUAUUCUUCACAAAUUAACCUUUCAAUUGUUGGUGCUGCAUUUGAUGAACAAAAUAAACAUUCCAGCUCUAUUUCAAAUGGCCCUGCCCACUCCACCAGUACUACCUUUAGCACCCGGACCUGCCCCUACUGCAACUGCAAAGCCUCAUUUUUCAGAUUUAUCCAAUAGUGAAUAUGAAAUGGAAUCUUCAGAUGAGAAAAGUUGUGAGUGCAUAUUUGCGUGGUGAAGCUGGUGCUCAAGAUUUCAUGAUGAACAUGCAUAAAUUGAAUUUAAUUGGAUUGGUGGCCGCAGCAAUGCGCGGGCCGGUGGUUUUUGGUUUCUGCGUGCUUAAGGGCGCUGGUGAUUUGCUGGUUUUGAUGCAUGGUGUCCUGGUUUGGGGUGAUUUCUUAGGGCAUGAUUCCUAUGGGUUUGGGUUGUUGUAUAGGGUUUAGUUUUUAUUUUUUGGGACUGACUUGGGUCUUUGGUUUCUAUAUAUUUAGUUUUAUUGUAUGCUGCCAUUGGUAAUGCAAUGAAUUUACAUAUUAAUAAUAAAAGAAAAACAAUGC